CGGACCUGAAGCGAGUGGUAGUUCCCAGUCAGGGCCACUCCAGGCCCGGAAACCGCGGAGCUGGGCUGAGAGCUGAGUGCUUCUGGUCAGCGUCCACACCGCCCACUCGAGGAAUCCGCUCCCUCGCGCCCUGAGCCCGCUCUCUUCAGCCUCGCUCCCCCUCGGCGCUAUAACCGCCAUUACAGUCGAGGCGGUUUUCUGGAGUCGGCCGGCCAGCCGGCAGACCCGCCUAAAGGUUUGCUUUGCUGCUGUAUGCAGAUAGACUGCCGGGGACCAGAGGAGGAAAGGUGGAAUCCAAAUUAGUGUUAUUCUGUAAUCCUGUAAAUGUACCCUUAUACCUCAAUUCAUCCUAUGGCAACCCUGUAAAGUGG